rnacentral:rRNA from 1 species
AGGACGAACGCUGGCGGCGUGCUUAACACAUGCAAGUCACGGGGGUUCAGGGGCAACUCUGGGCAACCGGCGAACGGGUGCGUAACACGUGAGCAACCUACCUCGAUGCGGGGGAUAGCCGGCCCAACGGCCGGGUAAUACCGCAUACGAUUCUUGAGGGGGGUCCCUUGGGAAGGAAACCUCCGGGGCAUUGAGAGGGGCUCGCGGCCUAUCAGCUAGUUGGCGGUGUAACGGACCACCAAGGCGACGACGGGUAGC